AACCCACCUUCAUAUUCGUUAACUUCCAAGCUAGCAUCAAAAAACGUUCAGGCUGCUGCUACCUGUUCAGGUUUCAGUUAGAGGGUCUAAUGAGGCUUAUUUAACAGUAAUUAUUAAAACAAUUAGUCUACCUUUAAAUGGAUUUAAGUCGGAUUUCUUUACCUUUCACUGACAGCUCACCUGGUGGUCGUUUCAAAUUCGCGGGCCUCCACCGUCUCCCAGUCAUCAGCAGGUCCCUCCAGUUCAGACCAUGGAGUCCCGAGGUCGCCCCUGGUGUUGAGCCUCAGGGAACAUGCAGAGCUCCCCUCUCUGCAACUUUGCGGUACCAUCCACCCCAGUCCAGGACACACUGAAGUUUCCCAUUGGCCAGAGGGACAAGCUCUCCAGACCAGCUAGCAACAGUACAGUAUCUCCACUGGCCUCCACACAGUGAUGGAUAAACAAUGUUGACCCAGCACAGAAGAACCCUGAUAAAUAAGAGUUGUGGCAUUAAGUCAUCCAGGUAGCUUAGCUCUCGAUUAGAGAAGCACAGGUCCAGAAGUUUGCGGACGAAUACCAGAGCCAGCACCUGCAGGCACAGGAGAAAAGGAAAAACGUGUUAUCUCAGUGGAAAAGUAUGAAAAGACUACUGGAGAAAGAGGGAGUUGUCGGUGGUGGAGGUGGUCAACUCACCAUCAUUGGGAAGACGAUAGCAGCAGGUGAGGUCUUGAUGACCCAGAGCAGCACCAGACAGGGCUCCAGUCAUGAAUACAGAGCAGCCCAUGAGCAGGAAGAUGACCAGGCCAGUGAGCCUCUGCUCUCUGAUGCCCAGGAAGCGAG